GAUGAACGCUGGCGGCGUGCCUAAUACAUGCAAGUCGAGCGAACAGACGAGGAGCUUGCUCCUCUGACGUUAGCGGCGGACGGGUGAGUAACACGUGGAUAACCUACCUAUAAGACUGGGAUAACUUCGGGAAACCGGAGCUAAUACCGGAUAAUAUAUUGAACCGCAUGGUUCAAUAGUGAAAGACGGUUUUGCUGUCACUUAUAGAUGGAUCCGCGCCGCAUUAGCUAGUUGGUAAGGUAACGGCUUACCAAGGCAACGAUGCGUAGCCGACCUGAGAGGGUGAUCGGCCACACGGGAACUGAGACACGGUCCAGACUCCUACGGGAGGCAGCAGUAGGGAAUCUUCCGCAAUGGGCGAAAGCUUGACGGAGCAACGCCGCGUGAGUGAUGAAGGUCUUCGGAUCGUAAAACUCUGUUAUUAGGUAAGAACAAAUGUGUACGUAACUAUGCACGUCUUGACGGUACCUAAUCAGAAAGCCACGGCUAACUACGUG
rnacentral:rRNA from 1 species